CUGGCUUCUUUCCUCUCCCCUCUCAAUGAUGAACGCUCCUCUGGAAAAAGACAGGAAUGGCUGUCCUGGAGAAAGGAUGGUGUCGGGGCCAAUGAGGGUGACGACGCCUGAACACACCCUUUGCUGACGGCCUACUGCUUCUCAAGUUUAAUUACGCAUGUGUUACUGCCCAAGUGUCAACUCUGAUGAUCUGGAAAGAAGCUUGACUUCGAGGGACACCCAAGAGUUCUGCUGGCCCUUUGAGGAGGAGAUUAAACUGUUCCCCACCCUCCAGUCUCCAUAUUUACUCUUGUGCAUCCCACACCCCACACCCACACCCACACAUGGGCACAUGUGCAUACACUCCAGCAGACAUCCAGACACAUGUGUGUAUCUCCCCACCCCACCCCCCUUCAAAGAGGAAGGGAUAGUAGGAGGUAUUGAA
ensembl:lncRNA